GGUGCUAGGACGGACAGUGAUGGUGCUUGUUAGGCGCUUACUACGUGCCCAGCACUCCGUGGUGACCCCCUGGCAGCCCGCGCUUCUUUUCCUUUCUUUAAGGUUUAUUUCAAACAACUCUGUCGCAAGGGUCAGAAGAGCUUUAACCCCUAUCGAGUGGAAGCCAUCCAGUGCCAACCCUAGAAAGUUCCCUCGCCUCUAAUGGGAUGCUUCAAGUCCAUUUUCCUUUGCUCCAUUCUGAGGGGAACGAUGAAGCUCGGUGUGUGGAAGCCUUUUGCUUAGAUAAAAGUAAAGGCCUCCCUCACCAAGUCUGUUUUUUCCACCUCUUUCUGCCUUUUGUUAGACCAACUGAACCCGUGCAGUUCGCAUGGAAACCUGAUUCCUUCUCAAAACCCUUCUAAAUUCUCCUCAUCUCUCAAGGAUUCUAGACAGUAAGUAAACCAUUCUGUAUUUAUCCCAGAAUUUAGGGCAGUACUUCACACAUAGUAAGCACACAGUGAAUACAGCAAAUACCAGAACUGUCUGCAAUAUUCAGAUCAGAAACUGGCCGGGAGACUGACCUCCCAGGACCUUUGUUGUUUGGGGUUUUUUUUUCUAAAUAUACUCGUUUGGGGAUUCCAGGAUCAAGCUUGUCAUUGUAUUUCUUCUGACCCCUAUGUGAUACAUGCCUUUCCUUCACAUUGACCAUCUUCGGUAAAACUACUUUGAGGAUCCAAAGUUUCCGGGGUCCCUCAGGUGAAGAUCUCUAUCACAGGUUAAAUACCAAAUGAGGGGGCACGAUUGAACUUAUAUUUCAGAUAGACGAGACCUGCCCUAAAGCGGACGUUAGGAUAUCGAUAUUCUGACUGAAAUGCAAAGCCACUGCCAUAAAAAACAGUGAGAGAGAUGGAACUUCUUUGUCUUGUCUCCUAAAGAUGUGUCAGAGUCUCGUUGCUCCUGCCCUCAGAAGAAGACACAUUGACCUGAAACGACUUCACCGGCAGGAGCUCUGUGGCCGCUGCAAAGGGAAACCAUUAUCCUGUGACAAUACCUACAGUUUCAAGUAUAUAUCUGAUGGCUAACAACUUCUACACAGCACUUUAGAACCCUAGAACACUCUACCUCUUCUGUGUAACUUGGCUUUGACCUCAGGUUUUUGACCUGGCACUGGAAAAUGGAUUAGACUUUUGUACCCCUUUUGGUAAAAGUGGUGUAACAGAAAUGUACGGUGUGACUAGAAUGGAAAAUAAAAUCAGCUCAUCUAAAACUUCA